CAUGUACAUGUCUUAGAUCUCUGAGACUGUGAACCUUUAAAACGGCCAGGAUUUUCUUUGUUGGGGAGCUUGGUUGUUGAGGCAUCUAUGCCUGCCACAGCUUCCGGCUGAAUAAAAUUGCCACUUUCUUUCCUGUCCGAUGUUCAAGAGGUUUGUUUGUGGCUGCUCCUGCUUCAUUUUGGUUCCCUGACUGGGAAGCAAGUUUCGGUUGGCGGAUGGCUGGGACAGCCUCCCAAGUGGUUUCGACUUGCCCUGCGGAGCGUCCCUGCUGGGGACUCCAGCCCGCUCGGGCAACGAGAGUCCUGAGAGUGCUCCCGGGUAGGCAUUGGCUCUGGUGGAAAGCCUUGCCAAAGCAAAGUAGCGUAGGCCCUUGCAGCGGAUCCACCCAGUGGCUGAACACCAAGAAGGAAUAGGUGCCUGAAGUGCCCAGACUUCAGAAACACGGCUGGAGUGCAAUGGCGCGAUCUCCGCUCACCACAACCUCUGCCUCCUAGGUUCAGGCAAUUCUCCUGCCUUAGCCUCCUGAGUAGCUGGGAUUACAGGCACACGCCACCAUGCCCAGCUAAUUUUUUGUAUUUUUUUUUAGUAGAGACGGGGUUUUAUCAUGUUGACCAGGAUGGUCUCGAUCUCUUGACCUCGUGAUCCACCCACCUCGGCCUCCCAAAGUUCUGGGAUUACAGGCAUGAGUCAGCACGCCCGGCCUCUUAAGGAGAUGGGUAAAACACAGAGCAAACCUACUCCAUUGGGAAUGAUGCUAAAAAAUUUCAAAAAGGGAUUUAAUGGAGAUUACAGUACCACCAUGGCACCAGUAAGACUUAGAACUUUGUGUGAAGUGGCCUGGCCAGCAAUGAAGACGGAUUGGCCCUUGGAAGGGAGCCUGGAUAAGUCUCUUGUCUCCAAAGUGUGGUGCAAGGUUAUAGGCAAGCCAAGACAUCCCAACCAAUUCCCACAUGUAGACUCUUGGUUACAGUUGGUUUUAAACUCUGGACAGUGGUUAUGGAGCCAGGCAGCUGCAGUUCUAGUGGCCCAGAGACAGACAGGGAAAAAUCUUGCUCCACCCACCAGAGGACACAGAUUCUUAAGGUCUUCGCCAACUCAGCACCAGAAGACUCUUUGCCAGUAGCACCCCCUCCUUGCUUGGAGGAGAAGUCCCCCACUCCAGAACCAGAGGCUUCUGCACCUCCACAAGAUCCGAACACUUCUAAACCACCCAGAGUGGAAGGAAAAGGAGGCAUGGCUUUAGGAGGCACUCCUCCCAUAGCAGCCGGAUUCCCAGAAAAAUCACCCCCAUUGACAGCCCAGUUAUGAGCCAAUGUGGGAGUGGAAAUGCCUCUAAGAGAACAGCAGUACACUGGGGUAGAUGAGGAUGACCACAUGAUAGAAAGGCGUGUCUUCACGCAUAUACCAUUCACUUUGGCCAACCUCAUAAACUGGAAAAAUAGCAACCCAUCUUACACUGACAAGCCACAAGCUUUAAUUGACCUGUUUCAGACUGUCAUCCAAACUCAUAAGCCCACUUAGGCUGAUUGUCACCAGCUGCUCAUGUACCUUUUCAACACUAAUGAGAGGCAGAGAGUGCUCCAGGCAGCAUCUAAAUGGCUGGAAGAGCAUGUUUCAGCUGAUUAACACAACCCUCAGGAGUAUGUGAGGACCCAGUUGCCAGGAAGGGACCCUCAGUGGGACCCAAAUAUCCCUGAGGGCAUGCAGAGGCUAACUUGAUACAAAGAGGCCUUGCUGGAGGGAGUAAGAAAAGGAGCACAAAGAGCUGAAAAUAUAUACAAAGUAUCUCAACUUAAGCAGGGGCAAGAUGAAAGUCCAGCACAGUUUUAUGAAAGACUGUGUGAGGCCUUCCGCAUGUACAUUCCCUUUGAUCCCGAGGACCCGGAGAAUCAGGAGAAUCAGCGCAUGGUGAACUUAACUUUAGUUAGUCAGAGCGCACAUGAUAUCAGGAAAAAGUUACAAAAACAGAAUGGGUUCACGGCCAUGAGCACUGCACAGUUGUUAGAAAUAGCCCAUCAGGUGUUUGUGAAUACGGAUGCAGCAGGCCACCAAGAGAAGGUGCGACAAAACCGGCAAAAUAUCAAUUUGCUGGCCACAGCUAUCAGAGGAACACAUUCAAAGGGGCAGGGCAAGGGGGGCCCUGGGAAAAACAACAGUCAGAUCGACCAUGUCUACAGCACAACCAGUGUGCCUAUUGUAAAGAAAUGGGACACCGGAAAAAUAAGUGUCCUCAGUUGGCAGGGGAACAGGGUAUUCCUAAGCAAGAAGCCUCAGGAAAAGAUGAGGUUACCCUGUUUAACUUGGUGGGGGGGCCAUUAAACUGAAGGAGACCAGGCUCGAAUGGCCCCAAAGACCCCAUGGUCAGGAUGAAGUGGAGGGCAAGGACAUUAAUUUCUUGGUCAGCACUGGGGCGGAACACUUGGUGGUAAUGCAACUCGUGGCAACUUUGUCCAGCAAGACAAUAAACAUAAUUGGGGCAAGUGGAGUUUCAGAAAAGCAGGCUUUCUGCCUACCAUGAAGCUGUUUGGUGGGGGGCCAUGAAAUUAUACAUCAGUUCUUAUACAUGCCGGACUGUCCCCUACCCCUUUGGGGAAGAGGCUUGCUAAGCAAACUAAGAGCUACCAUUACCUUCACUGAUAAGGGCUCCCUGCAGCUAAAACUGCCUCAGACAGGGAUUAUCAUGGCCCUCACAGUCUUUUGGGAGGAGGAGUGGAGACUCUUCCUGACUGAACCAGGAUGAGAAUUAAUCUUUGCUCUAGCCAAGAGAUGGCCACGGGUCUGGGCAGAGGACAACCCCCCAGAGUUGGCAGUAAAUAAAGCCCUAGUGGUUAUAGAAGUAAAGCCAGGGGCAUUACCCAUCAGACAGAGAUAAUACCUGGUCCCAAGGGAAGCUCUCGAAGGCAUCCAAGUUCAUCUCAGGUGCUUAAAAAUUUAUGGUAUUAUAGUUCCUCGCCAGUCUCCCCAGAACAUGCCUCACCUGCCUGUCCCCAAGCUGGGAACUAAGGACUACAGACCAGUGCAGGACCUGCGCAUGGUCAAUCAAGCAACUGUGACCCUGCACCCCAUGGUGCCUAACCCAUACAUGUUGCUGGGGUUAUUGCUAUUUGAGGACAGCUGGUUCACUUGUUAGGACUUAAAUGACAUUUUCUUCAGUAUCAGGCUAGCUCCUGAAAGUCAAAAGCGAUUUGCAUUUCAGUGGGAAAAUCCAGAAACAGGAGUCACUACCCAGCAUACCUGGACCUGGCUUCCCCAGGGGUUCAAAAAUUCCCCCACCAUCUUUGGGGAGGCACUAGCUUGGGAUCUCCAGAAGUUUCCUUCUGAAAGCCUAGGCUGUGUGCUUCUCCACUAUGUUAAUGAUCUUUUAUUAAGAUAUUCCAUGGCAGUUGGGUGCACUAAGGGAACAGAUGCCUUACUUCAGCACCUGGAUUGUGGGUAUAAAGUGUCCAAGAAAAAGGCUCAGAUCUGCAGGCAGCAAGUGCAGUUUCUGGGAUUCACCAUUUGACAAGGGGAGCACAGCCUAGGGGCAGAAAGGAAACAGGUCAUCUGCAACCUGCUGGAACCGAAAACCAGAAGGCAGGUAAAGAAUUCUUGGGAGCCAUGGGCUUCUGUAGACUGUGGGUUCCAAACUUUGCAGUGCUGGCCAAACCCCUGUAUGAAGUCACAAAGAGGAAAACAAGGAACCCCUUGAAUGGGGACCCCAGCAGCAAUAGGCUUUCCAUACCCUGAAGGAAAAACUUGUGUCUACUCUGGUACUGGGAUUACCUGACCUGACAAAGCCCUUUACAUUACAUGUAUCAGAAAAAGAAAAAAUGGCUCUUGGAGUACUAACCCAAACCGUGGGAUCUUGGCCAAGGCCAGUGGCCUACCUCUCUAAACAGCUGGAUGGAGUUUCAAAUGGCUGGCCUCCAUGCCCAGGGGCCCUAGCAUCAACUGCCUUGUUAGCCCAAGAAGUGGAUAAGCUAACUCUGGGACAGAAUCUGAACACAAAGGCUCCUCAUGCAAUGGUGACUCUAAUGAAUACCAAGGGACAUCACUGGCUGACAAACGCCAGGCUAAGUACCAGAGCUUGCUUUGUGAAAACCCCCACAUCACCAUUGAAGUCUAUAACACCUUAAAUCCUGCUACCUUGCUCCCAGCAUCAGAGAGCCCAGUGAAACAUGAUUGUAUUGAAGUCUUGGACUCAGUCUAUUCUAGCAGGCCUGAUCUCUGAAACCAGCCUUGGGCAACUGCUGAUUAACUCCCUUGGAGAGAGGUGUGUGGGGUAUACAGUAGUAACCUUGGAUAUUGUUGUUGAAGCUAAAUCAUUGCCACAAGGAACCUCAGCCCAGAAAGCUGAACUUAUUGCCUUGACGCGGGCCUUGGAGCUGAGUGAAGGUAAGACUGUGAACAUUUAUACUGACUGUCAGUAUGCCUUUCUGACUCUCCAGAUACGUGGGGCAUUAUACAAGGAAAAAGGACUCUUAAACUCAGGGAGAAAACAGAUAAAGUAUUGGCGAGAAAUUUUACAGCUAUUAGAGAAAGUUUGGAAGCCCCAAUAGGUGGCAGUUAUGCAUUGUGGGGAGUAUCAAUGGGCCUCCACCUCUGUAGCCCUGGGAAACUCCCAGGCUGACUCAGAAGCUUGAAAAGCAGCAUCCAUUCCCUACUGAGCUACAGUAACAGCCCUCCUGAUCCCCCAAAUGCCUGAUUUUGUGCCUACCUAUUCUAAGGAGGAAAGGGACUUUUUUCAAAAUGAAGGGGGACAGGCAAUAAAGGGUGGAUCCAGUUACCAGAUGGAAAAAUAGCAGUGCCAUAGCUGUUGACUGCUGGUGUUGUGCAAGCCAUACAUGGACUACACAUCUGGGCCAAGAAGCUCUUGAAAAGUUAAUAGGCUGGUACUUCUACAUUUCACAUUUGUCAGCUCUAGCAAAGGCAGUGUCACAGCAAUGUGUCACCUGCUGACAACACAAUGCAAAGCAGGGUCCAACAAUCCUACCUGGCAUACAGUCUUACUGAGCAGCUCCCUUUGAAAAUCUCCAGGUGGACUUCACUGAAAUGCCCAAGUGUGGAAGUUGUAUCUGCUAUUUCUGGUAUGUACAGACUCUGGGUGGGUAGAAGCAUUCCCAACUCAAACCGAGAAAGCUUAUGAAGUAACCCAUGUGCUUCUUUGAGAUCUCAUUCCUAGGUUUGGACUGUCCUUGUGAAUCAGCGUAGACAGUGGGCCAGCUUUCAUGGCUGACUUGGUUCACAGACAGCAACGUGUGGGAAUCACUUGGAAACUUCAUGCCGCCUGUAGAUCACAGAGUUCCAGAAAGGUGGAGCAAAUCAGACAAUCAAAAAUGGUUUAGGGAAAGUAUGCCAGGAGACAGGUUUACAGUGGGUACAUGCACUUCCCAUGGUGUUGUUUAAAAUUAAAUGCACCCCUUCGAAAAAGGGUACUCACCUUAUGAGAUACUUUACCACAGACCCCCUCAUAAACUAUGGGAGCUCCUAGGAACUCCUCAAGGGUUAGGUGAAAUUGAAUUGCAGAGACAGCUACAGGCCUUGGGAGAAGUUACCCAAACCAUCUCAGCCUGGGUAAAUGAAAGGUGCCCAGUGAGCUUAUUCUGCCUAGUUCACCCUUUUUCACUAGGCGAUCAAGUGUGGAUAAAGGAUUGGAAUAUCACCCCUUUGAAGCCCCAGUGGAAAGGGCCCCUGACUAUAAUCCUGACCACUCACACAGCUGUGAAGUUGGAAGGAAUAGCAGCUUGGAUUCAUCACAGCCGAGUAAAACCUGCAGCGGCUGAAACUUGGGAGGUGCAACCAGACCCAGACGACAGCUGCAAAAUCACCUUGAGAAAGACAACAAGCCUUGCCCCAGCCACAUCCUGGAAGCUGGCUGGUCCAUGCACGGCCAAAGCAUGAGAAAACUCAUUGUGGGGCUCAUUCUCCUUGAAAUUGGGACUCAUGUAGUAAGAACUUUACCUAACUUUGGAGAUUGUUCUCAGUGUAUACAUAAGGUCACUAAGGUAGGAUGAAAAAUCACUACUGUCCUUUUGUUCUACAGCUACUAUGAAUGUACAGGAACUCAGAAGGGAACUUGUUUGUAUAAUGGCACCCAAUACAAGUGUGCAGCCCAGGGGAUGGGCAACCAGAUGCCUGCUAUGACCCAUCAGAGUCCCCCAUACACACAAUUUUUGAAGUAAAACACUUAACAACUGUGGCAUGGAAAACUUCAAGUAAGUUAAUUGCUAGAACAGAGGAGAAAGGAAUCCCCAAGCAAGUUGUCAUAAAAUUUGAUGCUUGUGGGGCUAUGGAUAAGGGGUGUGGCUCUCUUGGUUGGGAGCAGAGUUAUGUGGGAGAGCAUAAGUAUAUGUGCCAGACAACGUAUUGGCGUAGUGAAUGUACUUACUGGUCAUGUGUUAUCUGGGCCACUUAGAAAAAUGAUAAAAAUGACCCCGUCUGUCUGACAAAGGGAAAAAGUAAUAUUCCCUGGAGUAAUGUUCUUUGUACCCCUGGGUAUUACAAUCCAUUAGAGACAAUAAUUACAAAUCCACAGGAUCCCCACUGGAAAAGUGGAGAAUAUGUAAAGCUAGGAAUUGAUGGGAAAGGACAGGAUCCCAUGGUAAAUAUCUUAAUUCAAGGGGAGGACCAAAGACAUACCUCCAGUCCAGUGCUGGUGUAUCAGACUUUUAAUGAUGAGUUAAACAAGCCAGCCCCAGAACUCACAAACAAGAUGAAAAACUUGUUCCUCCAGGUAGCUGAAAAUGUAGCCCACUCACUUAAUGUUACUUCCUGUUAUAUGCGUAGGAGAACUACAAUGGAAGACUGGUGGCCAUGGGAAGCACAAGAAUUAGUGCCCUUUGAUCCUGUCCCGGACCUAACCUUUGUCCAAAGAAUUCAAACCAGCAGCUUCUGGGUCUUAAAAGUCUCGAUUAUUGGACGAUAUUGCCUAACAAGAGAGGGAAAAAACUUCACCAUCCUGGUAGGGAGGCUUAGUUGCCUGAGACAGCAAUUGUAUAAUGAAACAGCAGAUACAGUCACUUGGUGGAGUUCAAACCACACAGAAAAGAACCCGCUCCUUAAAUUCCCUAAAUUGCAGGACACCUGGAAUCAUCCUGGGCUUCACUGAGACUGGACAGCCCCAGCUGGGUUAUAUUGGAUAUGUGGGCACAGAGCGUACGUGCAGCUGCCUGAAAAAUGGACUGGCAGCUGUGUCAUAGGCACUAUUAAACCUUCUUUCUUCCUAUUGCCCGUCAAGACAGGUGAAUUGUUAGGCUACCCCGUUUUUCCAUCUCCCCGGGACCCAAGAAGACUGUCUAUAGGAGAUUGGAAAGAUGAUGAAUGGCCCCCUGAAAGGAUCAUACAAUAUUAUGGGCCUGCUACACGGACACAGGACAGCUCAUCGGGAUAUCAGACCCCAACUUAUACGAUCAACCGCAUUAUCUGGUUACAAGCUGUCUUAGAAAUAAUCAACAAUGAAACUAGUAAAGCUUUAACUCUUGGCCUGGCAAGAAACUCACAUAAGAAAUGAUAUUUACCAAAAUAAAUUAGCACUAGACUACUUGCUAGCAGCCGAGGGAGGAGUCUGUGGAAAAUUCAGUGUAACCAGUUGUUGCCUGUGUACAGAUAAUCAAGGCCAGGCAGUUGAGUAUACUGUAAGAGAUAUGACAAAAGUGGCCUAUAUGCCAGUGGAAGUUUGGCAUGGGUUUGACCCUGCAUCUAUGUGUAGGAGAUGGUUCCCAGCUUUAGGAGGAUUUAAAGCCCUCAUUAUAGGUGUGGUGCUGGUAAUACGUGCAUGCUUGUUGCUCCCCUGUUUAUUGCCUGUAUUUCUCCAAUGAUUAGAGGUUUAGUCACUGCUAUAGUUCACCAAAAGGCCUCAGCUCAAGCAGAUUAUAUGAAUCAUUAUCAAUCAGUAUCAUUACAUGACCAGGAUAGUGAGGAAGAGGGUGAGAAUCCCAACUAAUAAAUAAGUGAAGUUCUCAAAGUGGGGAACUGAGGAAAGAGACCCCCUUCCUUUGGCUUUGCUUAGGGGAAAAGGAGGAAAUGAAAGUUAAAAGCCAGCCAGAUGAGGUCAGUAGAGGAACCAGCUCAGCACAGCUGACCAGGUCUGGAAGUUAAAAAUUAACCCCCCUACUCCUGACUACAAUCCUAUCUAUAGGUCACAGGCAUGGUAUGGAGGAACCUUAUCCUGGAAGGCAUCGACCUUACUCAGCUACUCAAGACCCCUAUCCGGUCACGUCCCCAAGACUUGCUAAAUCAAUCAUGACCUUCUCAAUGUGCAUCUCUUAGAGCUCUUAGAUUGUGAGCCUUUAAAAGGGCCAGGAUUUUCUUCGUUGGGGAGCUCAGUUGUUGAGGCUUCUAUGCCUGCCACAGCUCCCAGCCAAAUAAAAUUACCACUUCCUUCCCUGUCUGAUGUUUAAGAGGUUUGUUUGCAGCUGCUCCUGCUUCAGAACCACCAGCAGACUCCCAGACAUGCCUUCCCUCCUACACUCACUGUACUGCUCUGUGUGCUAUUAUCCAUGUCUGGAAUGUUCUUCCUUUUUCUUCACUUGGUUAACUUAUUCUGAUUUUUUUCAGAUUUAUCUGGACACAUUUGACAAACUCCUUCCUUCUUUUAGCUAGGAUCAGGAGCCCCCCUCUGUGCUUCCACGUACCUAUCAAGACUCUUAUGUUUCACUAUCUGCUUAAAUGAUAGUCUCCCUGUAAUACGCUGAUUCUUUGUAUUUUAUUUUUGAAUCCUCAGUGCCCAGGAUAUAGCAAGCACCCCUGCUUAGGAUAUAGCAGACACUCAAUAUAUGUUUAAGUAGUGAAGAGAUACAUUUAUAAAAUAAGAGUGGAACAGAUGAUUUCAAUGGUCUCUGCCAAUUGUGAAAUACUACACACAGUUCUUCAUUUACCUCUACUGGCCUCCCAAGGAAAUUCUUGUCUGUCAUCUUAUAAUGGUGUAAGGCACCUUUGUGCUUGUAAGUGACAUCGAUGUCCAUAUUCAAGUGGAGUUGUUUAACCAGGAGUGAAUAUUCUGUCAGGCCCUCGAUGGCAUUGAUGGUGUCCUGUCAACAAUCAGCAAGGCACAAAAAUAUGUUUGUUUAUUUACUGCCUAUUUACAAAUGCCCUUUUUAUGAGCGGGUAGGGCAGCAUUGUCUGGAGUUGAAACUCCAGCUGACUCAGUAAGACUGGUUUAGGGCCCCAUUGUGGAGGUGGAAGGAAGGUCUCUCCCUCCUCAACAGAGACAUUGCUGUUAGCAGGGACAGGAAGGAAGUGUGGCCUCAUAUCUGGGUCUUCUAUAUAGACUACAAAUGUAAUCUCAGGCAAGUCACUGUUUGCAGAAUUCCUCUGAGUCUUUGCAGGAUUAUCUCUUCCUCAUUCUUUAGUGUCAGCAUAAGUUAUCUCCACAAUAAGGCCAUAAACUCCCCUUUCCCAUUAUUCUCUGUUUUAAUGUUCCUCUUUUGCCCUUUAUAGCAUUCAUCUCAAUUUGUAAUACUUUUAUUUAUAGUUUAUUGCUGGCUUCCCCCACUGCAAUGUAAGAUUCAUGAGGCAAGUAGGUAAUAUAUUUUUCUUGGUGCUUGACAUGGUUUGAAUGUGUCUCCCAGAGUUCAUGUGUUGGCAGCUUGGUCCCCAGUGUGGCAGUGUUAGGAGGUGAGGCCUAAUGGGAGGUGUUUGGGUCAUGAGGGUACUAUUUUCAUGAAUGGAUUAAUGCUGCUUAUUAUAGAAGUGAGCCUGUUAUAAAAGGAUGAGUUUAUACCCCACUCACACCAACCCCCUACUCCGCCUUCUCUUUGCUCUUCUACCAUGGAAUAAUGCAACAAAAAUGCCUUCACCAGGUGCAGCCCCCUGAUCUUGGACUUCCUAGGACCCAGAAUUAUGAGCUAAUAAAUUUCUGUUCAUUAUAAAUUAUCCAAUGUGUCAUAUUCUGUUACAGCAACAUGCAAUGGACUAAGGCACUGUCCAUUGCAUUUAGUGGGUACAUAAAUAUUUGUUGAAGGAGUAAACUUUAUCUUUCUGGGCCUCAUCUUUCUCAUCUAUAAAACUGAGAAACAUGACUAGAUCAGAGAUGUUAAACAAUGUGGCCACUCCCUCUGCCUGUAUCUAUAGCAGUGAAUGCUUAUCAAUAGCACACUCUUUUCUGCUAACCCUAUAUUUGUACCUAAAAUCAAACAUAUUAGAUGGUCACUAAAUUAAUACUAAAGGCCCUCUCUACUGCUAAACUUUAGAUAUAGAUAUACACACUCCAUCAUUAUCUAAACAUCCAGGCAACAGGGAAGAUAUUAACAUUCAAGUUAAACUUUGAAUAUAAGUAUAUAUGAUACAACUACAUAAUAAUUAGUUGUAAUACAAAAUACGUACUUGAGUGAGUUUAUAUUAAAUAGCUAGAUAGAGUAACAUAUAAUAAUCAGUAUUUCUUUCACUUUUUAUUUAUUUCUUUGUGGAGAAGAAGCAUCCGUACUUUUGUCUACAUGACAGACACUAUUUAUUAUAUAGGAUAUGACAUACUUGCCAACAACCUUACUAGCAUUUUAUGGUGAUUUAGAAUCAUGAAGGAAGUAGUGGGCUUGAGGUCAGGAGACAUAAGUUCUGAUUCCGGCUCUGCCAUGAAUACUCUAAAUGAAACUCCCUGGGCUCAUUUCCUCUUUUGUAUAAUAAGAGUGUUGAUGCAGAUAACCUCUAGGGGUCCUUCAGUUCUGGACAUUAUUCAUAUCUAUUGCAUAGUCAUUUGGUGGCCAAAGGCAUGGAGGCCAGAAUGAGUGUGGCAUGGGAGAAAAUAAAAAUGUCUACGGGUAGAUGAAACAAGACAAAGAAAUGUUACCUGGGUUGAAUAAAAGCCGCCUCCAUAUCUCUGCUGUUCAGAUAGCCAUUUGAUGAUUGGGUUAACAUAAUUUAUAUCUUUCAAGUUCAGACUGGUGAGUAAGGCAUAGGCAGUUGUUUCUACCAUACGUGCCGUACCAGUGUUAGGUACAGAGUUGUCUUUAUGUUGAAGUUUGUCUUUCCAAAAACGAUAAAUGGGUGGAUUACCUGAAUAUCAACAAGU